GUGGCCAUAGGAAUGUAUUUUUAUACAAAGGAUUGUGGCUUUGUAGAUUACUACAGAUUUGGAAAAGAUGGAGAUUCUAUGAUUAGGUCAACCUUAAUCGAGAGGAAUUGACUUACGCUUAAAUUUCGGGACGAAAUUUCUUUAAGGAGGGUAGAUUGUAAUACCCCGAAAAAUCCAAAUUAAAUUCUGUGGAUUUUUAGAAAUGAUUUCACGAUAGUGGGAGCGAGUACGAGGCUCGGAGGAAUUGUGGAAUUAGUUCGAACGAUUAAUUUUCGAAAAAACGAACGUUAUUUAGGGGGUCUCAAAAAGUGACUUUUUAUACAUUGGGAAUUUGGGAAAACUUCCUUCAUGAAAGUUGUAGAGGACAUUAAACCGAGUGCGUGCAUAUGUGGUACGUAAAAAUCGGAGUUCGUAUGCGAAAGUUAUAAGCAAAAUAUGAAAGUUACUGUUUAUGGUAGAUUGGUAUAAAUUUGAAAUGUUACUGUAGCCAGGUAACUUUUCUUUCUUUUCUCUCUCCUUCCCCCGUGCUCUCUCAGUCUCUCUCUUCUGCAACUCUCUCUUUCUCUCUUCUGCAACCUCCUCUUUCACCACCUCUAGACCACCAAAUGGCGAGCUGCGAGCAUCGAUAGACUCGUCUCUUCCUCCUUAUCACGCAUGUGGGAGUUGUUUACGACGAUUUGACCGGAAAUGUGGAGAUCGAAGCCAACAUUUUUACUGUAGCAAAUUAGUCAACGCCGAUUUCCGGCCACCUCCAGUCAUAAACCCAGGUCCAUUAGAAGCGCCUUAAGCCGCUCUUCAUGCUCGCCAAGUCUCAUAACCCAGAUCGAAGCAUGGAGGAAGAAAGCAUAAUUGGAAAAUUUCACUGUACAUCGGAGUGCUUAAUUGUUCGGCUACUUCAAGGUGAUUGACGGUUUGAGUUGGUGGACGAUUGUGGAUCGUAUUUUGAGCUGAAUUGAAGACGCAGCGGGAUUAUCGAGCGGGUAAUCCUACAGGACAGGAGAACCAGGACGGUGACCGUGCGGUUAGAGCAAUUGUUAGAGUUUUACAGCAAUUGUAAGUUGUGAGGUGUGUUAUGCUCAUUUAGAGCUUUACAAUAUUGCUUGUGAGAGUGAAUUGUAAUAAUGAACUCGAGGUUUCGAGAUUUGGAGUUUGUGUACCUUGUGGUGAGAUUAUAUUGAGAAAAAAAUUCAGAACGUUUAUUUGAUUAAGUGGUUUAAUUCAUGUUUCGGAUUUGAAUUUAUUAUUCAAAAUUCGGGGCGUGA